rnacentral:rRNA from 1 species
CAAGUCGAACGGUAAGGCCCCUUCGGGGGUACACGAGUGGCGAACGGGUGAGUAACACGUGAGCAACCUGCCCUUGACCCUGGAAUAACAGUUGGAAACAGCUGCUAAUACCGGAUACGACCUCUUUCGACAUCUGAAGAGGUGGAAAGCUCCGGCGGUCAAGGAUGGGCUCGCGGCCUAUCAGCUUGUUGGUGAGGUAACGGCUCACCAAGGCUUCGACGGGUAGCCGGCCUGAGAGGGCGACCGGCCACACUGGGACUGAGAUACGGCCCAGACUCCUACGGGAGGCAGCAGUGGGGAAUAUUGCACAAUGGGCGAAAGCCUGAUGCAGCAACGCCGCGUGCGGGAUGACGGCCUUUCGGGUUGUAAACCGCUUUCAGUAGGGACGAAGCUAACGUGACGGUACCUACAGAAGAAGGACCGGCCAACUACGUGCCAGCAGCCGCGGUGAUACGUAGGGUCCGAGCGUUGUCCGGAAUUAUUGGGCGUAAAGGGCUUGUAGGCGGUUUGUCGCGUCGGAAGUGAAAACUCAGGGCUUAACCCUGAGCCUGCUUCCGAUACGGGCAAACUAGAGGAAUGCAGGGGAGAACGGAAUUCCUGGUGGAGCGGUGGAAUGCGCAGAUAUCAGGAGGAACACCGGUGGCGAAGGCGGUUCUCUGGGCAUUACCUGACGCUGAGAAGCGAAAGCGUGGGGAGCAAACAGGCUUAGAUACCCUGGUAGUCCACGCCGUAAACGGUGGGCACUAGGUGUGGGGAACAUUCCACGUUCUCCGUGCCGAAGCUAACGCAUUAAGUGCCCCGCCUGGGGAGUACGGCCGCAAGGCUAAAACUCAAAGGAAUUGACGGGGGCCCGCACAAGCGGCGGAGCAUGCGGAUUAAUUCGAUGCAACGCGAAGAACCUUACCUGGGUUUGACAUAUGCCGGAAAGCUGCAGAGAUGUAGCCCCCGCAAGGUCGGUAUACAGGUGGUGCAUGGCUGUCGUCAGCUCGUGUCGUGAGAUGUUGGGUUAAGUCCCGCAACGAGCGCAACCCUCGUCCUAUGUUGCCAGCGGAUAAUGCCGGGGACUCAUAGGAGACCGCCGGGGUCAACUCGGAGGAAGGUGGGGAUGACGUCAAGUCAUCAUGCCCCUUAAGUCCAGGGCUUCACGCAUGCUACAAUGGCUGGUACAAAGGGCUGCGAUACCGCAAGGUGGAGCGAAUCCCAAAAAGCCAGUCUCAGUUCGGAUUGGGGUCUGCAACUCGACCCCAUGAAGUCGGAGUCGCUAGUAAU